rnacentral:rRNA from 1 species
GCGGGACCAGCGUCUUAUACCUGUAAAACUACAGAGGCUUCUGGGAAGGAAAUUGUGAAAUUAUGUACUGGUAAGGGGGUAAAACCCGUGUGGUGUUUACUAUGGGUAUCCCUGUAACCGAACGGCAUUCUUUCUGGAACCAGGACCUUGACGCUGGAAAUUCGGAAAAGCCCGUUGGGAGCCAAACCAGGGAUUUAGAAUACCCCUGGGUUAGGUCCACGCCCCUUAACCGGAUGAAUGGUUAAGUCCGUUUGGGAAGUGCUAAGCCAACUUCCAAGUGAUGCCAAGCUAACGCAUUAACAUUCCGCCUGGGGAGUACGGCCGCAAGGUUUAAACUCAAAGGAAUAGACGGGGACCCGCACAAGUGGUGGAGCAUGUGGUUUAAUUCGAAGAUACGCGAAGAACCUUACCUGGCCUUGACAUAUACCAGAAUCUGCCAGAGAUGGUGGAGUGCCUUCGGGAGCUGGUAUACAGGUGCUGCACGGCUGUCGUCAGCUCGUGUCGUGAGAUGUUGGGUUAAGUCCCGCAACGAGCGCAACCCUCGUGACUAGUUACUAACAGCAUAGGCUGAGGACUCUAGUCAGACUGCCUUCGUAAGGAGGAGGAAGGUGAGGACGACGUCAAGUCAUCAUGGCCCUUACGGCCAGGGCGACACACGUGCUACAAUGGGAAGGACAAAGAGAAGCAAAACUGUGAGGUGGAGCAAAUCUAUAAACCUUCUCUCAGUUCGGAUUGCAGUCUGCAACUCGACUGCAUGAAGCUGGAAUCACUAGUAAUCGUGAAUCAGCCAUGUCACGGUGAAUACGUUCCCGGGUCUUGUACUCACCGCCCGUCACACCAUGGGAGUUGAUUUCACCCGAAGCGGGGAUGCUAAAUAGGCUACCCGCCACGGUGGAAUUAGCGACUGGGGUGAGCGAG